rnacentral:rRNA from 1 species
GGUGCGUAACGCGUGGGAAUCUGCCCUUGGGUUCGGAAUAACAUCGGGAAACUGAUGCUAAUACCGGAUGAUGACGAAAGUCCAAAGAUUUAUCGCCCAAGGAUGAGCCCGCGUAGGAUUAGCUAGUUGGUGGGGUAAAGGCCCACCAAGGCGACGAUCCUUAGCUGGUCUGAGAGGAUGAUCAGCCACACUGGGACUGAGACACGGCCCAGACUCCUACGGGAGGCAGCAGUAGGGAAUAUUGGACAAUGGGGGCAACCCUGAUCCAGCAAUGCCGCGUGAGUGAUGAAGGCCUUAGGGUUGUAAAGCUCUUUUACCCGGGAUGAUAAUGACAGUACCGGGAGAAUAAGCCCCGGCUAACUCCGUGCCAGCAGCCGCGGUAAUACGGAGGGGGCUAGCGUUGUUCGGAAUUACUGGGCGUAAAGCGCACGUAGGCGGCGAUUUAAGUCAGAGGUGAAAGCCCGGGGCUCAACCCCGGAACUGCCUUUGAGACUGGAUUGCUAGAAUCUUGGAGAGGCGGGUGGAAUUCCGAGUGUAG